AGUGAGAGUACAGGUAUUCGUUGAGAAUGAGAGUACUGAACGUGACCACCUCGAGCAGUCAUAAGGAAGUCUACCUUCUCGUCGAUGACUAGCUCAAUGCUGCAGCUGUGUCUAGUUCUUUGAUCUGAGGUACAUCGAUAGUUUAUCUUGAGUGUGUUAUAGUUUGACUAUUCUAUAACUCGAUCUCCUGGUCAUUCAAAAUCUUGAGGUAUAUGUUGGCUGUAGCAUAUUCAUUGUAGGAACC
rnacentral:lncRNA from 1 species